rnacentral:rRNA from 1 species
UACAGGGGGUGCGAGCGUUAAUCGGAAUUACUGGGCGUAAAGGGCGCGUAGGCGGUCGAGUAAGUCGGAUGUGAAAUCCCCGGGCUUAACCUGGGAAUUGCAUUCGAUACUGCUUGGCUAGAGUGUGGAAGAGGGAAGCGGAAUUUCCGGUGUAGCGGUGAAAUGCGUAGAUAUCGGAAGGAACACCAGUGGCGAAGGCGGCUUCCUGGUCCAACACUGACGCUGAGGCGCGAAAGCGUGGGGAGCAAACAGGAUUAGAUACCCUGGUAGUCCACGCUGUAAACGAUGAGAACUAGAUGUUGGGGGGUAUAACCCCUCAGUGUCGCAGCUAACGCGUUAAGUUCUCCGCCUGGGGAGUACGGCCGCAAGGUUG